rnacentral:rRNA from 1 species
UAGGGAAUCUUCCACAGUGGACGCAAGUCUGAUGGAGCAACGCCGCGUGAGUGAAGAAGGUCUUCGGAUCGUAAAGCUCUGUUGUUGGUGAAGAAGGAUAGAGGCAGUAACUGGUCUUUAUUUGACGGUAAUCAACCAGAAAGUCACGGCUAACUACGUGCCAGCAGCCGCGGUAAUACGUAGGUGGCAAGCGUUGUCCGGAUUUAUUGGGCGUAAAGCGAGCGCAGGCGGAAUGAUAAGUCNGAUGUGAAAGCCCACGGCUCAACCGUGGAACUGCAUCGG